CAGGUCCAGACAUAGCAAGAAUUGACAGACUGAGAGCUCUUUCUUGAUUCUGUGGGUGGUGGUGCAUGGCCGUUCUUAGUUGGUGGAGCGAUUUGUCUAGUUAAUUCCGUUGACGAACAAGACCUUAGCCUGCUAACUAGCUAUGCGGAGCCAUCCCUCCGCAGCUAGCUUCUUAGAGGGACUAUCACCGUUUAGGCGACGGAAGUUUGAGGCACUAACAGGUCUGUGAUGCCCUUAGAUGUUAUAGGCCGCACCCGCGCUACACUAAUGUAUUCAACGAGUAUAUAGCCUUGUCCGACAGGCC
rnacentral:rRNA from 1 species